GACAGAGGGUGCAAGCGUUAAUCGGAAUUACUGGGCGUAAAGCGCGCGUAGGUGGUUUGUUAAGUUGGAUGUGAAAUCCCCGGGCUCAACUUGGGGAACUGCAUUCAAAACUGACUGACUAGAGUAUGGUAGAGGGUGGUGGAAUUUCCUGUGUAGCGGUGAAAUGCGUAGAUAUAGGAAGGAACACCAGUGGCGAAGGCGACCACCUGGACUAAUACUGACACUGAGGUGCGAAAGCGUGGGGAGCAAACAGG
rnacentral:rRNA from 1 species